UACGGAGGGUGCGAGCGUUGUCCGGAUUUAUUGGGUUUAAAGGGUGCGUAGGUGGCUUUUUAAGUCAGUGGUGAAAUACAGCCGCUCAACGGUUGAGGUGCCAUUGAUACUGAAGAGCUUGAAACAAGUGGAGGCUGCCGGAAUGGAUGGUGUAGCGGUGAAAUGCAUAGAUAUCAUCCAGAACACCGAUUGCGAAGGCAGCUUACUAUGGUAUGAUUGACACUGAGGCACGAAAGCGUGGGGAUCAAACAGG
rnacentral:rRNA from 1 species